rnacentral:tRNA from 3 species
CGCGGGGUAGAGCAGUCCGGUAGCUCGCUUGGCUCAUAACCAAGAGGUCAUUGGUUCAAAUCCAAUCCCCGCAACCA